rnacentral:tRNA from 1 species
GCUCUUAUCGUCUAGUCGGUUAGGACGUCAGCCUUUCACGUUGAAAACUCGGGUUCAAGUCCCGAUAAGAGUA